CUAAUGUCGUGUCCCCAGGUCUCCCAGUGAUCCUAUGUAUCACAGUGUCUCAAUGCCCCAUGUCUCCCUGUGUCCCCAUGUAUCCCAGGGUCCCCAUGUCACUAGGAAGAUGGGGAGACCUGGGGAACAUGGAGACACAAGUGACACUGGAAGACUAGGGGACUCUGGCUGGGACACAUGGGGACAAUGGGAAAAUAGGGGACACUUGAAGACAUGGGGACACAGACACCAGGGACACAGAAACUAGAGACACUGGCUGGGGGACAUUGAGACAUGGGGACAUUGAGACACCAGGCCCACAGACACUAGCUUGGAGACAUGGGGACAUUGUGACACUUUAGGCAAUGAGAGACAUGGAGGCACUAGGAGACAUGGAGACAGUGAGACACUGGCAGACUGGGAGACUAGGGGUCACUGGGAGACAAGGGGGCACUGAGACACCAGGGACACUGGCUGGGAGACAUGGGGACACUGUGUCCCCAUGUGUCUGUGUCAUAAUAUCUCCCAAUGCCCCUUAGUGUCUCAGUGUCUGCCAUAAUGUCUCCCAGUGCCCCCUAGUGUCUCAGUGUCUGCCAUAAUGUCUCCCAGUGUCCCCUAGUGUCUCAGUGUCUGUCAUAAUGUCUCCCAAUGUCCCUUAGUGUCUCAGUGUCUGCCAUAAUGUCUCCCAAUGCCCCUUAGUGUCUCAGUGUCUGCCAUAAUGUCUCCCAGUGCCCCUUAGUGUCUCAGUGUCUGCCAUAAUGUCUCCCAACGCCCCUUAGUGUCUCAUUGUGUGCAAUAAUAUCUCCCAGUGUCUCAGUGUCUGCCAUAAUGUCUCCCAAUGUCCCUUAGUGUCUCAGUGUCUGCCAUAAUGUCUCCCACUGUCCCUUAGUGUCUCAGUGUCUGCCAUAAUGUCUCCCAGUGCCCUUUAGUGUCUCAGUGUCUGCCAUAAUGUCUCCCAGUGUCCCUUAGUGUCUCAGUGUCUGCCAUAAUGUCUCCCAGUGCCUCUUAGUGUCUCAGUGUCUGCCAUAAUGUCUCCCAGUGUCCCUUAGUGUCUCAGUGUCUGACAUAAUGUCUCCCAAUGUCCCUUAGUGUCUCAGUGUCUAACAUAAUGUCUCCCAAUGUCCCUUAGUGUCUCAGUGUCUGCCAUAAUGUCUCCCAGUGCCCCUUAGUGUCUGUGUCUGCCAUAAUGUCUCCCAGUGUCCCAGUGUAUGUCUCCUUGCAGCCUUUCCCCCAUCCCUCACUUCCCUGAGGGUGGGAGUUCUGUCUGGACUAUCUGUAGCUGCACCCCUACAGAUCAUUGAAUAUAGAUAGGCAGGGACGGAUAUGCUGGAAAUUCCUAUCCCUGCCUGUCUCCACACACAGCGACCCCUACUAUUGCAUAGUAAUCUCUUGUUUAUACUGAGAAAAAUACCAGCAUUUGUAUUGCCAGUAUCACUGCAAUUGGCACCAGCCAGGCAGCCUCAAACACUGGCUGUGCCAAUAAAAUAAAAGCCAGGUGGAAUCCCU